rnacentral:misc_RNA from 1 species
AAGUCGUAACAAGGUUUCCGUAGGUGAACCUGCGGAAGGAUCAUUAUUAAAACAAAACAUAUUUAUAAUUUAUUUAUUAUUUAUAUGUUGGUAUUAAUAAAUACACACAUUUAGAAAUGUAAUUUUUCUUUUUGAAAUUUAAUUUUUAGCAUUUCUAAAUUAUUUAAAAAAUUAAAUAUCAUUAUCGACUGAUUUUAAAAUUUAAUUUUAAAUAAAGUUGAAAAAAAUAUAUAUAAAACGUUUUUGGUCUUACAAAAGAAAAGUCUUAAAAUAACUUUUAACGAUGGAUCUCUUGGCUCCUA